UACAGAGGGUGCAAGCGUUAAUCGGAAUUACUGGGCGUAAAGCGAGCGUAGGUGGCUUGAUAAGUCAGAUGUGAAAUCCCCGGGCUUAACCUGGGAACUGCAUCUGAUACUGUUAGGCUAGAGUAGGUGAGAGGAAGGUAGAAUUCCAGGUGUAGCGGUGAAAUGCGUAGAGAUCUGGAGGAAUACCGAUGGCGAAGGCAGCCUUCUGGCAUCAUACUGACACUGAGGCUCGAAAGCGUGGGUAGCAAACAGG
rnacentral:rRNA from 1 species